rnacentral:lncRNA from 1 species
UUGGUUUCUAGGAGGAAUCCAAAGAGGAAGCCAACAAAUCAUGAGGAUUCUAAGAGGCUGAUGGAAGCUAUAAUGGUUCAACUCAAUUAGAUUGGGAGAGUUUGAAGGGAGGCAUUUUCCAGUGCUGUCUCAUUAAGCAGAUGACCUGCAGACAUUGUCAGCACAACCCAGCCAAGGUGAUUGAUCACCAGAGAAUAGAGGACUUGGUAUAGCAAGUAUCACAUCACCUGGAAUAUUAAAGAAUAUGGAAUUUCCUGUUACAUUCCAGCCCUACCUAGCCCAGUUUUUUUGUGAGAUAUUUAGCAGAAAUCCUGGCCAGCAAGAGGACAUACUUGAUUUUUCUUUUUCCAUCAAUACAGACAUAAUGAUAAUCACCAGAAACACAGAGGCUGAUAUUUGGCUGUCAAUUGAUGGAGGUGACGUGGAGGUAAAUCCUGAGCUGGAAUCAACCGAGGACAGAAGGACAAGAAAUGCAAAAGUGAGGAGGAAAACAACGACAGAAAAGAGCUUCCUAAGCAGAAUGAGCCAGUUUAAUAUAAACAAACACAUUUUAAAAAAGAAAAUGUUUCUUGUUUUUUGUUUUUUCGAGACAGGGUUUCUCUGUGUAGCUUUUGAGCCUAUCCUGGCACUGGCUCUGGAGACCAGGCUGGCCUUGAACUCACAGAGAUCCACCUGCCUCUGCCUCCCGAGUGCUGGGAUAUAA